GCGAAUCUCGUGCAGGAUCGUUCCGCGGGUUGCAAUCGCCCACGAUUAAGGUCGACCGAACCGACCGCAAAAUGCAGGCGCGUGCAGUAUUGCAUGCCGCGAGGUAGUAUAGGUCACGUGGUCCCUAUUUAGCCUUAAGCUCGCGCAGACCUCGCGUGCCACGGGCCCGUUUCGAGAAGCGCGAAUCGAGCAAAUGAGCCGAAACGCCACGAAAUCAUGGCUGCAUGACCACCCACCGAACUGUUUGUUUGAGAUUGGAACACCGUGCGCGUGCGAUGUGCGCGAAUUUGUGCGCACAAAACUACACCGGAAGUCUCGCAUUAGGCAAAUGAGCGCGGAUGCCUUAGCCCGGAAAUUGGAGGAAAAACGACCGACGGUUGCAUAAUGGGGCAAAGUAUACGCGUGCUUGGAAGCAAGUAUACGUAGGCGCAUUUAGGGUUCGCCUAAAUGUCAUUUGCUUAUAGGUUGCGGGCAGCCUGGGAAGGACGUUCGUCGAGGCCAGCAUCGUGCGUGGUUCGAGGCUACAAUUGAGCACAAUUCUGGGUGGAGUCGCUGCUGCCCCUUUAAAUUGCCAGCUGGAUGGACGUACAAGUACGCCCCGUGCGCGUAGCACGCGAUCCCACGUCGCGAACGGCCCGGUAUAACAUCUUGUUCUCAUCGCCGCAGGGACAAUUCUGAGGACUGCGCGAUCCGAUUGCUCUGUGCACCGGGAGCUAACAUUAAAUAUUAAACAUUAAAACAUUUCACAGAUUCUUUGGCUUGACAACAUUGGUACGCACCCGACCGAUGUCUCCUCUGUCGCAUAUAUUUUGUACUAAGGCGAUGUUGCUUUCUUCACCCUGACGAAACCUUGCGAUCACUGAGCUCACCCUGUUGGCACACGCGAUUCUAUGAGACACGCAGAGGCGGCGACCAGGAUUGCGGGAAGAAGAGACCGCUGGACAGAAGCCACGAGAACAGCAGCACAGCUAGAGUGAUGAGCAGCAGGAACUCGACGCUGGGCUUGGCUUCGUCGAAGGGUCAGAGUGGCGCACCGUCCGCGUUACCAAUGGGAUCGGCCGGCUGUGAACGGUGAACAGCUGCGCGUGUGUGACAACAAAUACAAGAGGAUGGCACGACGGCCGAUUUAUUCUACUCCGGCCAUGAAACGUUACGACCUGUUUCGUUAACUCUUCGGCCAAUUCCGAAGGCGCUGCUGGAACACCGCCCCCAUCGCUCGUCGGCCCAUAAAGCGGUGAAGGAUCUUUUGUGCUUCUUGAGGACGACGGGCUUGCGCGAACAUCUGCGAUUAUUUUUGCAAUUUCGUCGGCGAACAAGGGCACGAUGACGGGAAGUUGAGAGCCAUGUCCGUUGGGCUGGUCGUGCGGCGCGUUGUGCAAGAUGUGCGCGGUCGUCGGCAACGCGGGGUGGCAUCGUCGACGCGUAUGUUGGCAGCGUGUUUGACGACGACGUGCGCCAUUAUACGCACGUGCCACUCGUGUGUACACGCCACAUUGUAUUUGCUUGAUCUUCAAGAGGGAGGCCACGGAAAGACAGCGGGACUCCUCGGCUGUGUGCAAUUACUCGGUGUUCUGUGCUUUGCAGUGCGAUUACUUGUGUUCUGUGUUUUGGCCAUUCAAGAUACUUGACUUUAUGUGUAUGCGUAUGUGUACUGCAUACUCAUGCGCGAACUUUGCGGUUCACGUGCUGUUGGAUUGUAUUGUUUUUAUACACCUGGUGCUCUAGUGAGUGUCAUAUUUUGGGACAUGAUUAUCUCUUUUUGCGCACGUUUGCUUCCUUUGCUAUGUGACAAGGAGUAUCCGGUGCCGCCAUACAGGCGCUAACCUCUCCUAUUAUUAAUUGCAAUCAUAUAUAUAUAUAUAUAUAUAUAUAUAUAUAUAUAUAUGAAGAACUCCUCGGAGAAUCGCCGAGGCCAUCUUCAGAGACUG